GCCCUGGUGGCGCAGUGGUAGCGCAACUGAUUUGUAAUCAGUAGGUCGGGGGUUCAAAUCCUCCCCAGGGCUCCA
rnacentral:tRNA from 1 species